AAUUUAUAAUGUAAGAGAUUAGUAUAAUAUUCGAAAUUGAUUUUAGAAAGUUUUGUCGGUUGAUAUUAUUGAUUAUAGACAAUAGGUUAUAAAAGAAGCCUCUCAUUAACUAUUUCUUUUUGCUUAUUUUUCGUAUUUCCUUCGGAGCUUUCAUAUUUUCCUGUUCAUAAAAUCGUUUCAAUAAUUUUAUAGCCUUUUCCGCAUAGUUGUAACUCCAGAAAGAUUCAUGAUCGAUUAGCUCACCAAUAUUUUCUAAAUCUUUGUUUUCAUUGUUUGCUCCAAAAUUAGACUCAUCUAAAUCAGUAAAAUAAUUAUUUCCACCGAUACAAAUCAAAGAGAUUAAGGAAGAUUGGUCUUUAUUGAUAUAAGGCACAGGUAUUGAAUUUGUAUUAACUCGCAGAACGGAACCGCAACCACCAAAUCGUUCGUUAUCACAACCAUAAAAUACAGCAGGAAUCGUCAUAAUUUUAAGAGCGGCUGUGCACAUAAUACAAGGUUCGACGGUCACGUAAGCAAUAGUUUUUGACAUAAUUUUAGCUAUGAAACUAGAGUAAAAAAAAUUAUUUGAUUUAUUGUCAUUAUUGGUUUUCUCAUUUUCACUAAUUUUUAAGAUGCCAACUUCGUUAUCAAUAAUCGUACACGAUGAGUUUUUAAUGUCGAUGCUGGAUUCAUCAUUGUAUUUUUUCUCAAUCCAUUGCAAAGCUCGUUCUAUAGCUACGAUUUCGCAAUGUUUAGUAGGAUUUAAGAAAAUACCACUAACAACGUGAAUUAUAUUGGUCUGUGAUGAAUCUUUCCAAGUUUUAUAAAGAUGGGAUCCUAUGACGAAAAAUUCUGAAAUAUUAAUGAUUAUUUGUGAAACUAUUCGUUAUAGUAUAUAUAGAUUCAAAAUCAAUGAAAAAGGGGCUAAAAAAAGUCUUACGAACCAACGAGAUUUGAGAUGCGUAAUAAUUUUAUAGAUAGAAAAUAGUCAUUAAUAUAUCAAGGAUUACAUCCAUCAAAAUUCAUCGCUCAAUAUUAGUAUUUGUGUAUUAUUUACUGUUUCCUUUCUUAACACCGAAAAAUAUUUUUUUUUUGCUUAUGCAAAAUAUGUUGCUUUCGAUUCUUUUUUACUUUAUAUUUGUAAAAAUAUAAUUAUGUAUAUCUUUUUUUUAAUCGUCCAUGGUGUAUAAAUACCAAGGUAACUCACUGAAACUCGGGGAAAUUUUUAAUAUUAUUUUUUUUAUAUUUAUUUUCUUUUUUUGAUAAAGAUCUUUUUAUUUAAAUCUUGUAAUUAAUUUAUAAUUUAUAAAAUG